rnacentral:rRNA from 1 species
UACGGGGGGAGCAAGCGUUGUUCGGAUUUACUGGGCGUAAAGGGCGCGUAGGCGGCCACCGCAAGUCGGUUGUGAAAUCUCUGGGCUUAACCCAGAAAGGUCAACCGAUACUGCGGGGCUAGAGUGCAGAAGGGGCAACUGGAAUUCUCGGUGUAGCGGUGAAAAUGCGUAGAUAUCAUUUGGAACGCCAAUGGUGAAAAACAGGUAGCUGGGGGCUGUGCUGACGCUGAGACACGAAAGCCAGGGGGAGCAAAACGGGG